rfam:Ciona savignyi cont_47000, whole genome shotgun sequence.
ACUUAUCACCAUUCCAGAUUGAAUAUACCCGAUCUCGUCUGAUCUCGGAAGUCAAGCAAUCUCGGGCUUGGUUAGUACUUGGAUGGGUGACCGCUUGGGAGUACCAAGUGUGAUAAGCA